rnacentral:rRNA from 1 species
UACGUAGGGUGCGAGCGUUAAUCGGAAUUACUGGGCGUAAAGCGUGCGCAGGCGGUUUUGUAAGCCAGGUGUGAAAUCCCCGGGCUCAACCUGGGAAUGGCAUUUGGGACUGCAAGGCUGGAGUGCGGCAGAGGAGACUGGAAUUCCUGGUGUAGCAGUGAAAUGCGUAGAUAUCAGGAGGAAUACCGAUGGCGAAGGCAGGUCUCUGGGCUGACACUGACGCUCAUGCACGAAGCGUGGGGAGCAAACAAGGAUUAGAGUACCGAG